rnacentral:lncRNA from 10 species
GCAGGAGAUAGUUUGGCCACCGCUUUCUACUUAGAUUGAGAGCAGUUGACUCCAUCGUUCAAGUGUCCAUCUUGGGGAAGAAUUGAUUUCAGAGGCAGACGAACCUGCCAUCUUCAUACCUGUUCAUUCCUUACACCAGAAAAACCCAUUCCAACUGUGCUUUUUGUCUGUGUCUAUUUGGUUCUUUGGGACUUACUUUGAAUUGUCGUAUUUUGCAGGUAUGCAGUACCUGUGAUUGUUUAAGUAAAAAGGAUUGUGUAAGUAAAAAAGAUGAAACUGUGGAUAUAUGCGCCAACGUGGAUGCUCUCAAAUGCAUUAAGCCAGGUCAGUGGUCCUCAAUCAGGAGUGAUUUUGCCCCCCAGGGGGCAUUUUGCGAUGCCUGAAGACAUCUGUGGUUGUGACAACUGGGGAGAGAGGUGUUACUGGAAUCUAGUGGGUGGAUACCAGAGAUACUGCUAAACAUUCUAUAGUGCACAGGACAGGCCGGCACAGCAAAGAAUGAUCUGGCCCACCAUGUCAACAGCGCCAGGGUGAGAAACCCUGUGCCAAGUGAAAGAAGCAGACUCCAUUUAUA